rnacentral:rRNA from 1 species
ACUUACAGUGCAAGGAUUCAUAAUAUUAUAAGCAAACAAAGCUAAGCAGGGUUGGGCCUGGUUAGUACUUGAAUGGGAGACCACCUAGGAAGACCAGGUGCUGUAGGCG